rnacentral:lncRNA from 1 species
AUGACAGAGCAAGACCCAGUCUCAAAAAAACAAAAACAAUAAUGACAUCAGGCUGUACAUACAUAAUUUAGAAAAGAAUGUUUUGUAACCUGCUUUUUUCACUAAAAACACAUCAUAUUUCUAGUUCAUUACCCAUUUUUAGUUGCUGCUUUUGGUUUGGAUAGACAAUAAUUUAUAGGUUUUCAAUUUUAAAUAUUAAAAAGAACACUGUGAUAAACAUUCUUGUGUCUAAAAUCUUUGCAUCUAUCAGUAAUUACUUAAAUAGACUGAGUUGAGCUGGGAUUACUAUGGCAAAGAAUGGGCAAAAAUCUAUUGCUCUUGAAACCUACCAUAAAAUCCCAUUUGGAAUGCUUGUAACAAGUCAUAUUCCUUUCUUGACAUCCUCAUUAUCAAGUAUUAUUAAAAGUAUUUUUCUGCCAAUUUAAGAGGUGAAAUGGUGUCUCCUUUUAAUUUGGAUUUGAUUCCUAGUGGUUGAGUUUGUUUCACAUUCUUAUUUCAGCUCAUCUUCUAGAAGUCAUCUAUAGCUACUGUCAGUUUCUAGGCUUCCAAGGACACCCUUCAGCCUACUGCAAUGCAGCUUCUUACCCUACUCCUCCAUGGACAGAUGACAUCCAUUUCUGAAAUCCAGGGGCCACACUUCAAUCUAUCUCAUGAGGUAUCUCUGCUUGGUGGACACCGAUGUUCUCCCUUCCUGAAGACUCUGCUUCUCUGACUUCUGUGAGCAUAGCCUCUUCUGGUCACUCGUUCUCUGGCAUAGACUUCUUCUCUGUGGGCUGGCAGCGAACAGUGGGGCCUUCAGCAUCAUUAUUGCUCAGAUCUCUUUAAUGUUUGGCUUAAAUGAAGACAGCUGGAUUCUCUUCUUCUGCAUUCAAUCUGUUAGGAUGUGCUGUUUGCUGAAAGCAUGAAAAUCCUAGCACCUCACCUCACCUCUUGGGGACCUUGGACCGCACUUUGAGAACCAUUAGUUUUUCUUUCAGCUCUACAUCAUUCACAGCCGGGCCUGGUGGCUCAUGGCUGUAAUCCCAGGACUUUGGGAGGCUGAGGUGGGUGGAUCACCUGAGGCCAGCAGUUUGAGACCAGCCUGGGCAACAUGGUGAAACCCCGUCUCUACUAAAUAUACAAAAAUUAGCCAGGCGUCAUGGCACCCUCCUGUAGUCCCAGCUACUCAGGAGGCUGAGGCAGGAGAAUCACUUGAACCCGGGAGGCAGAGGUUGCAGUGAGCCGAGAUCGCACCACUGCACUCCUGCCUGUGCGACAGAGAGAGGCUCUGUCUCAAAAAAUAAAUAAAUAAAUAAAUAAAUAAA